rnacentral:lncRNA from 1 species
UACGAAUUACAUGUAAAGUAAACCAAUAUUUCAGACGUUUGCGGAAAUAUAUAAGCUAAAGUAAGUAUGUUUGCGUAAUUUUACAGUAACUUAUUAAGUUGGAAUGCGCUUUAUGAACACUUUAUUAAUUUACUCUGUCUGACGCCAAACGAUUUUACUCGUCAAGGGGAAAGCUCUGCUGCUCAAUGGGUUAACAAUAGUAGCUCGCUAGAAUACUUAGAAGGUCUUGAAGGGGUUUUAAUACAGAGUUUAAAUAACUUGAAGGAAUGAUACGGAGCGAAUAUUGAUUGAAAGUUUGUCUAUAUAUAAAAUAUCGUGCAUGAAGACUGCAGUAUUCUGCCGUUUUCCGGUUCGAGGUCAAUUUUCUGCUAUUGCGCGUCAGUAAUUUACUUAGUAUGUGACAGAAAAGGACAGGUAUAUUCAUAGACUUUAAACCUUUUUACAACGUGAAGUAGUUAUUUCCAAAGAUAGCUUUUGAAAGCAGAAUAUUGUGUUUAAAAAAUCAAGGUGAAUAACAAGAUUUUGUUGGCAAAAUAUCAAGUUUUGAAUAAUAGUUUUUGAAGACAGAAAUUAUCAAGUGUAAAUUAAUUUUAUAUACAUUUAUUAGACAUAUGACCAGGAACAGCUAAUUCUUGUCGAGCUAAUCCUUCAAAAUAGCUUGCAAUGGACAUUUCCAGCAAAAGACGAAAUUUUAAUCUAGACAAGAAGAACAAAUCCAUUAUCAUAGCUGGAAAGAGCAUUUUAAAAUGAGUAAAACUUCAAAGAUUGGUUGCGAAAUGUUGUAAAAUGAGGAAAAUAUAGUCCUGUGUCUGUGAAGUUCGCAAAUUUUGUAUAUACAUAUUUGCAUUACGCGCGGGAAAAGUAACCAUUUUUGAGCCGAAAGUGGUUAUUUUUACCGCGCGUAAUACAAAUAUAUACAAAAUUUGCGAACUUCACAGGGCUAUAUUCUCUUCAUUUUACAACAUUUAGCAACCGAUCUUUGCAGUUUUACUCAUUCUAAGACGCUCUUUCUAGCUGUGGUGUUGGAUUUCACUCUUCUUGCCUUGAUCAAAAUUUAGUCUAUAGCUGCAUGGAAUCACCCAUUUCCAACAUGUUCCAUAUAUUCUUACAGAAUGUCAAGACUGCUUCUCGUUGGCUUAUUGGUGACAAUGGCAAUUGUUAGCGUGACAGCGAAAUGUGAGAUAGGCUUUUUCUGUGACAGCAUAAAGGGCAGACGGGAAACAUUACCAGGCAACCAAGAGAAUUAUUUAGACGAAGGAAAGCGAAUGCCCAAACCAAUGCCUUUCAAGAUGAAACUGGCUCGCAGGAGAGCAAUGGCAAGAUUUUUGGCAAACGGCUACAGGUUUUUGGAAAAGGAAAAUGAUCAUUGAUGAUUGACGUGUGCUUAAAGCGAACAGGAUAACUUCACAGUAAAACAAAAUAAAACGUAUAUUGAUAGACGCUGAAUUAUUUUCAUACAAGUAUAUCUUCAUAUCUGUGAGGAUUAGCUGUUUGAAACUCUUUAGAGAAGCAGAAUGAAAAAGCUAAAUGCAAAUAUCUAUUAUGUAAUUGAAAAUGUAACUUAUAGUAUUUAACUUAUUAGCUUCAAAGAUCUUAUAUUAAAACCUUUUAC